UUAUAAACGAAUACGCAACGGAAAUUUUGAAAAUAAGAAAUUUGAAAUUAAUUUAAACUGAAAACUUAAAGGGUCCAUCUGUUUCUCAUUUCUGUGAUAACACGACUACGGUUGAUACAAUCUCAUUGCACUUAACAGACUUCAGCGGUUUAUUCCAUGUAUAUUUCAACAGCAAAUAUAUUAGGUGAUGUAUGUUUCACUGAACAACGAGGCUGUAGUCGGUCGGAUCGUUCCUGCUGCACAGCCCCAGUCAUGUCGAUAUCUCGUGUGAUGAAACCGAUGUAUAUGGCCUGCAGCCGUGCCGACCAGCUGUGCAGCAUGUACUGGAAUGUGGUGGCCAGAAGCGGUGCUAAGGAGCAAAAUCUAUUUCAGCUCCGUUGUGAAUGUGCGUCAUAAGGAAGACUUGUCACUGGAACCACUGGCGUUCAGACUGGGAUGAGUGACGUGGAUAUUGUUUUAAUGUGUCAGCGUCGUUACAACGAGGAACAUCAAGCCGUGCCUAUGUGGAGAAUCAAACCUAGACUAUAUGCAUGAUCAGUCACACAUAUCCUCACGCAAAUACGUGUGUUUUUAUCUUGACUGAUUGUACCUGGUCCAAUAUGGUAUCAAUGAAUUGUAAAGUCUGCAUAAUAAACAGCGAACUGCGCUCGUAUCACUAUCA